rnacentral:rRNA from 1 species
ACUCCUACGGGAGGCAGCAGUGGGGAAUAUUGGACAAUGGACCAAAAGUCUGAUCCAGCAAUUCUGUGUGUUUGAUGAAGGCCUUCGGGUUGUAAAGAACUUUCAGUGGGGAAGAAGCAAGUGACGGUACCCACAGAAGAAGCGACGGCUAAAUACGUGCCAGCAGCCGCGGUAAUACGUAUGUCGCAAGCGUUAUCCGGAAUUAUUGGGCAUAAAGGGCGUCUAGGCGGUCUAAUAAGUCUGAUGUGAAAAUGCGGGGCUCAACUCCGUAUUGCGUUGGAAACUGUUAGACUAGAGUUUUGGAGAGGUAGGCGGAACUACAAGUGUAGAGGUGAAAUUCGUAGAGAUUUGUAGGAAUGCCGAUGACGAAGUAGCUUACUGGACAAAUACUGACGCUGAAGCGCGAAAGCUAGGGAGCAAACAGGAUUAGAUACCCUGGUAGGUCAGUC